GACGAACGCUGGCGGCGUGCCUAAUACAUGCAAGUCGAGCGAAGUUUUUCUGUUGCUUGCACCGGAAAAACUUAGCGGCGAACGGGUGAGUAACACGUAAAGAACCUGCCUCAUAGACUGGGACAACUAUUGGAAACGAUAGCUAAUACCGGAUAACAGCAUUAACUGCAUGGUUGAUGUUUAAAAGUUGGUUUUGCUAACACUAUGAGAUGGCUUUGCGGUGCAUUAGCUAGUUGGUGGGGUAAAGGCCUACCAAGGCGACGAUGCAUAGCCGACCUGAGAGGGUGAUCGGCCACACUGGGACUGAGACACGGCCCAGACUCCUACGGGAGGCAGCAGUAGGGAAUCUUCCGCAAUGGGCGAAAGCCUGACGGAGCAACGCCGCGUGAGUGAAGAAGGAUUUCGGUUCGUAAAGCUCUGUUGUUAGGGAAGAAUGAUUGUGUAGUAACUAUACACAGUAGAGACGGUACCUAACCAGAAAGCCACGGCUAACUACGUG
rnacentral:rRNA from 1 species